UCAGGUGGUUAUUGCGGUGGUGUCCCACCUCUUCCCAUUCCGAACAGAGAAGUUAAGCCCACUUGCGCCGAUGGUACUGCAAUGCAAUGCGGGAGAGUAGGCAGCCGCCUCCU
rfam:Prevotella buccae ATCC 33574 genomic scaffold SCAFFOLD1, whole genome shotgun sequence.